rnacentral:rRNA from 1 species
AAGGCUUGACAUCGCCCGGAAAGCCGUAGAGAUACGGCCCCCCUUGUGGUCGGGUGACAGGUGGUGCAUGGCUGUCGUCAGCCCGUGUCGUGAGAUGUUGGGUUAAGUCCCGCAACGAGCGCAACCCUUGUUCUGUGUUGCCAGCAUGCCCUUCGGGGUGAUGGGGACUCACAGGAGACUGCCGGGGUCAACUCGGAGCAACUCGGAGGAAGGUGGGGACGACGUCAAGUCAU